GCGAACUGGUUUAAGGACUCAUAGACAAAUCCUCCUUUAUCUCUUAAAAGAGUCCUAAGGACUUCAUCACAUCAUAAGAGUUCAAAAAGAUGUACAGAAUAUAUGCAAUAAAUGAUGCCAAAUAACUUUUUAUUAAUUCAUUAAUUCAUAUACAAUUCAAUCAUCAACAGGCCGACGAUUGACUUUUAGGACACAAUUCCUAACAC
rnacentral:lncRNA from 1 species